AACGAACGCUGGCGGCAUGCCUAACACAUGCAAGUCGAACGAAGGCUUCGGCCUUAGUGGCGCACGGGUGCGUAACGCGUGGGAAUCUGCCCUUAGGUUCGGAAUAACAGCUGGAAACGGCUGCUAAUACCGGAUGAUAUCGCGAGAUCAAAGAUUUAUCGCCUGAGGAUGAGCCCGCGUUGGAUUAGGUAGUUGGUGGGGUAAAGGCCUACCAAGCCGACGAUCCAUAGCUGGUCUGAGAGGAUGAUCAGCCCACACUGGGACUGAGACACGGCCCAGACUCCUACGGGAGGCAGCAGUGGGGAAUAUUGGACAAUGGGCGCAAGCCUGAUCCAGCAAUGCCGCGUGAGUGAUGAAGGCCCUAGGGUUGUAAAGCUCUUUUACCCGGGAAGAUAAUGACUGUACCGGGAGAAUAAGCCCCGGCUAACUCCGUGCCAGCAGCCGCGGUAA
rnacentral:rRNA from 1 species